rnacentral:tRNA from 1 species
GGGUAUGUAGCUAAGGGGUAGAGUGCUUGUCUGGCAUACCAGAGGUCCUGGGUUCAACCCCUAGUAUGGCGG